UAAGAAAUUUAGGAUUAUAUUAAACCAAGAGCCUUCAAAGCUCAAAAUAUGGGUGAAACCCCCGUAAUUUC
rnacentral:tRNA from 1 species